GUUUUAAUAGUUUAAUAAAAAAACCCUGGUCUUGUAAAUCAAAAAUAAGAACACUUCUUUUAAAACA
rnacentral:tRNA from 1 species